rnacentral:rRNA from 1 species
GACGAACGCUGGCGGCGUGCUUAACACAUGCAAGUCGAGCGGUAAGGCCCUUUCGGGGGUACACGAGCGGCGAACGGGUGAGUAACACGUGGGUGACCUGCCCCCAGCUCUGGGAUAAGCCUGGGAAACCGAGUCUAAUACCGGAUAUGACUCCAUGACGCAUGUUGUGGGGUGGAAAGCCUUGUGCGGCUGGGGAUGGGCCCGCGGCCUAUCAGCUUGUUGGUGGGGUGAUGGCCUACCAAGGCGA